rnacentral:rRNA from 1 species
GAUGAACGCUGGCGGCGUGCCUAACACAUGCAAGUCGAGCGAUUUACUUCGGUAAAGAGCGGCGGACGGGUGAGUAACGCGUGGGUAACCUGCCCUGUACACACGGAUAACAUACCGAAAGGUAUGCUAAUACGAGAUAAUAUGCUUUUAUCGCAUGGUAGAAGUAUCAAAGCUUUUGCGGUACAGGAUGGACCCGCGUCUGAUUAGCUAGUUGGUGAGGUAACGGCUCACCAAGGCGACGAUCAGUAGCCGACCUGAGAGGGUGAUCGGCCACAUUGGAACUGAGACACGGUCCAAACUCCUACGGGAGGCAGCAGUGGGGAAUAUUGCAAAAUGGGCGAAGUCCUGAUGCAGCACCGCCGCGUGAGCGAUGAAGGCCGUCGGGUCGUAAAGCUCUGUCCUCAAGGAAGAUAAUGACGGUACUUGAGGAGGAAGCCCCGGCUAACUACGUG